AACGUAGGUGGCAAGCGUUAUCCGGAUUCACUGGGCGUAAAGGGUGCGUAGGUGGUGAGGUAAGUCGGAUGUGAAAUCUCCGGGCUCAACCCGGAAAUGGCAUUGGAAACUACCUUGCUAGAGGAUUUGAGGGGGGAUUGGAAUACUUGGUGUAGCAGUGAAAUGCGUAGAUAUCAAGUGGAACACCAGUGGCGAAGGCGAAUCCCUGGAAAAUACCUGACACUGAGGCACGAAAGCUAGGGGAGCAAACAGG
rnacentral:rRNA from 1 species